UAGGACGAAAGGGAGACUCACGUUUAUCGACACCAACGGAGAGGAGGAAAACUCAGCCAGACGUCAUAGGACGAAAGGGAGACUCACGUUUAUCGACACAACGGAGAGGAGGAAAACUCAACCAGACAUCAUAGGACGAAAGGGAGACUCACGUUUAUCGACACCAACGGAGAGGAGGAAAACUCAACCAGACAUCAUAGGACGAAAGGGAGACUCACGUUUAU
rnacentral:lncRNA from 1 species